CAUACAGUGUGGGUUGCCAGUCUUGCCAUGAUGAAGGUGGAUGGGUGCAUAUUCUAGUCUCCUCUUCUUAAUGAUCUCCAUAGCCACCUGCCUGUGACACUUCUUAUAUAAACUCCUAGCAUAGUGCAAAUUGAGUCAGCCAUACCAAGUGCAAGUGCCAAGAUCACUGAGCUGUUGUGUUUCCAGGCAGCCACACCAACAUCAAGGAGUGUGAGCAUUUGUCAGGAUGAAACUUGGGAGCCAAAGAAGGAGAGCAGGGUUUAGCAAAACCAUCAAGGAGCAGAGAUCAAGGCUUUAUAUCAUCUCCAGAUGUAUCGUUAUGCUGAUCCGGUGGCAUGACUGACGAAGAACAGUUUUGGCUCUUGAUUUCUUUAUUUUUCCAGCUCUGCUGUUGUUAUUUUUUCUUUUCCGGCUACCAGAAUGGUAGAGAAAAUGUACAUACAGAUAGAAUCAGAUCCUUGUAGCAGCUGCAGUAUCAAUCAAUAUUCAGUUUUGUCCCUCUCAUUGUUUGUCUCUUCCGUGCCGCUUUGCACAAGAAUGAAAAGCUUUCCAAUGUCAUUGUUUCUGGGAUGUGACUCCUUUCUACAGGCAGAAAUUGUUAAUGGUCAGAUUUCUGACUGUUUCACCUGGACGAUACACAUUUGAUAACUUGAUCAGCCAGCACAAGACAUUUGAAGUCUAUUAGAUCAGACGAUGAACCAUGCCAGACAUAAAUAGAGAAGCAGAUUUAAAAUACGGCUUCAUGGAUGUCUAAUCGACAGAGUGAACUAAUCAGAUAGUCCUAGUGUUUUCUCUGCUAUCUGUAUAUUGCUGCAAGUCAAUAAUGUUUGUUCUUUAAUGGUAUAUUCAACUGACAAUACAAGAAAG
rnacentral:lncRNA from 1 species